GAUGAACGCUAGCGGCAGGCCUAAUACGUGCAAGUCGGACGGGAUUGGAGAGCUUGCUUUCCAUGAGAGUGGCGCACGGGUGCGUAACACGUAUGCAACCUACCUUUACCAGGGGGAUAGCCUCUCGAAAGAGAGAUUAACACCGCAUAAAAUUAGUUUAUGGCAUCAUAACUUGAUCAAAUAUUUAUAGGGUAAAGAUGGGCAUGCGGAACAUUAGCUAGUUGGUAAGGUAACGGCUUACCAAGGCGACGAUGUUUAGGGGAUCUGAGAGGAUGACCCCCCACACUGGUACUGAGACACGGACCAGACUCCUACGGGAGGCAGCAGUAAGGAAUAUUGGUCAAUGGGCGCAAGCCUGAACCAGCCAUGCCGCGUGCAGGAAGACGGCCCUACGGGUUGUAAACUGCUUUUGUACGGGAAUAAACCCUGAUACGUGUAUCAGGCUGAAUGUACCGUAAGAAUAAGGAUCGGCUAACUCCGUGCCAGCAGCCGCAGUAA
rnacentral:rRNA from 1 species